rnacentral:piRNA from 1 species
UACACAUGGGACAGUGGCCCCAACAC